UUCUAAUUUUCCCACACAGCCCUCCCACCCUCUUCUGCACUGAGUUCCUCGAGGCGGCGCCCGCACGUGGAGGUGAAGCAAGGGGCCCAGCGAGGACCGGCAGAGGAGCCACGGUCUGGAGCUCAGCGAGCGCAUUGUGCGGACAAACUGAAUGGAGCUGGGAUGUGUGCGCGCUGGCUUGCACGGAUUAGCCGUGCUUUCCCAUGAACUACAAAAGAAUGCCCGAAUCUGGGACGUUUGUCAUCAAGGGGCAGGCUGCUCAGGAUGCAAGAAUCUUGCUAUGCUGCACAAACUGCCUUGAACUGUUGGGCUCAAGUGAUCUUCUGACUUCAGCCUCCUCAGUAGCUGGAACUACAGUGUUGGGGUGGAACCCACAGCCUCACACAUGCUACGCAAGUGCUCUACCACUGAGCUGCACCCCCAGCUAGGAGGCUGUUUCAAUGAAGAGAAAAGGUGGGGAAACAGACACAGAGAGACUGGUUCUAGACUUGAUUUUGCCUUUAAUCAACUGUAUGUAGAUGGCUUGUCUACAUAUAUCAACACUGGAGUUGAGGGCUCCUAAAAGGAGCCAAAUUCAAGUCUUGGAACAUUAGUGAGUCAAGUAAUGUCAUUUUCCUGAAAAUAACACAGUGUCAAAAUGAGAGAGAAAAGGAUGAAAAUGACUACAGGAACUGAAGUACCAGUUGAGUCAUGACACCUCAGUAUGCUCUGAAGCUGGGCCUGUCCAAGGCACUGUGGAAGAUUCCAGUUUGAGAAUAUAUCACCUGCUUCAGGGUUUCAGGAAGCUUUGGUAUCAGAAGAUUUCCACAGUCUAUUUCCCAUUUAUCUGAAAGAGGACAUUUGUUUGCCUUUAUUAUUCUUGUCUCUCUAAGAUAUCUCCAUCUUUAAAAGCUCCCCACUCCCUUAUUUUACUGACAGGAAAGCUGGAAUUUUAUGUCGUCUUCUCCUUUUCUGUGUUUCAUUUAUGAGAACAGAAAAACAGUUGGAGAGAGGCAAGGUAUACCACUUUUGUAAAAUAUUCAUAAGAUUCGCUAGCUAAUGUGAUUCUCUCCCACCAAAAUAUGAAAGUUUUCCCUGGAAGACAUAUUUUUAUUGUAGUUUUUUUUUUUUCCUUCCUAAUGUUUGUACACCCUAUGUUGGAAAGGAUUUCUACAUUAAGCUCCACAAAUUUUCAACAUGACUUCUGACAGAUUUGAUUAAAAAAAAAAAAAAACCCUGAUACUGUCUUUCAUGUUCUCCUGAAAUAUAAAAAAAUACAUUUAAUUAGAAAUCAUUCUGGUUAAAUAUGUGUAAGUAGAGAUAUGCAUUGUUUAUCUUAAGAGGUUUUCCUAAUCUUGUAAAAACCAUGACUGUUAAAAUUGGGAAGUAAUAUUUUCUCAUUGAUUAGUAUCUGAUUUGGGGGCCUUUUUUCUGGAUAUGGAGAAAGUAUAUGGUGCUUUUGAGACAAUUGCGAAAGUGGAUAUGGGGAAAAAUUAAAAACUUGAAAUUACUAAGCCCUCUCAAAAUAAACAGAUUAGAAAACAAACAAACAAACAAACAAAAACUCUUCAAAGU